rnacentral:misc_RNA from 1 species
AUCCUGCAUCAGGGCUGUGGGCGUGAGUACGGCAGGAGACAAAGAUGCUGGCAUCUAUACUUUACCUUGGCGUCAGUUUUGUUGACGUUUGUUGUUUUUGGGACCUGUGGACGACACCUGUUUGAGCCCUGUGAUGUGCUUUAAAAUAGGUAUGAGGCUGUUUUAAUGAAAGAUGUACCUGAAGAAGGCGUGAUCACGAUGAAACGAACUUCAAAGUAACAAAGCUGUACAAAUAACGGGUGAAGAUAACCAGGCUUCUACCUGCAAAGAUGCCGUCCCUGUUUGCGUGCUUCAUGUGUGGGGGGAGAGGGGAGAGUGAUGAUAUUCGAACACUAGACUAUUGUCAUGCUUCUCUCUCUGAUGUUCCUGCUGAUGUCUUUGCCUGUGAGCGUACCCUUGAAGAACUGCAUCUUGAUUCUAACCAGUUGAGUGAACUGCCACGGCAAUUAUUUUACUGUCAUGGUCUGCGAGUUCUUGGCCUAAGCGACAAUGAGCUUUCAUCGUUACCUCCUGCUGUGGCAUCCCUCAUCAACCUCACUACCAUAGACCUCAGCAAGAAUGCUAUUUCAGACAUUCCUGAUAACAUUAAAGGGUGCAAGCAGCUUAGUGUGGUAAAUGCCAGCACUAAUCCACUGUGCCGGCUUCCCGAAGGUUUUACACAAUUGCUGUCAUUACAAGAACUUUACCUCAACGAUACAUUUUUGGAAUAUCUACCUGCAAAUUUUGGACGGCUGUCGCGGUUAAGGGUUCUUGAACUUCGUGAUAAUCAACUUAACACGCUUCCCAAGUCCAUUGCACGCCUUACUAGUUUACAGCGUCUUGAUAUUGGACAAAAUGAUUUUUCGGAACUGCCUGAGGUGAUUGGCAGUUUGGGAAGCCUGACUGAACUAUGGUUUGAUAAUAACAAGGUAAAGUCACUGCCUCCUCUUUUGGGACGACUUAAAAAGCUGGUUCAUGUUGAAGCCUCCAAGAACAAGGUGGACUGGGUAGCUGGUGAAAUUGAGAACUGUGUUAUGCUCACAGAUCUACACCUCUCUUCUAAUGAUCUUAAGGAACUGCCAGAACAAUUGGGUGGGUGUCAUCAGUUACAAGUGUUGAAGCUUGAUGAUAACGCUUUGACUCAUCUUCCCGAGUCCAUUGGUGAGCUGUCAGCUCUUGAAGAAUUAGUGGUUACUCGGAAUGAUUUAGAGACUUUACCGGCAUCAGUGGGCCUCUUGCGAGCUCUACACACCUUGCAUGUUGAUGACAACGUUUUAACGGAGCUACCACCAGAAUUAGGUUCGUGUUCUCGACUAACUGUUCUCACUGCUGCUUCAAACUCCCUCACCAGCGUGCCAGCAGAGCUUGGUCACUUGCCUCGCCUAACUAUACUUAAUCUGUGUGGCAAUCUCAUACCUCACCUACCAGUGUCACUUACCAAACUUAAGCUGCGUGCCUUGUGGUUGUCCGAGAAUCAGAACAAGCCGCAGGUUCAGCUGCAGUCCGAGACUCUGCCCGAGACAGGUCAACGUGUCCUUACAUGUUUCAUGCUGCCUCAACAACGUGACCAGCAAUCAGAAACUGUUGUGGAAGCUGAUACCUUUCCUGGCCAAAGUUGGGAUGAACAACGCCGAGCAAAAACUCUCAUUAAAUUUGCUUUUGAAGGAGAUGUGGAUAAGCCAGGCCGCUUAACACGUGCUCCAACACCAUAUCCAAAAGAAUUAAAGGCAUUGGCAAAGCAUGCUCGAAAUUUACACAGCUUGCAAAAGGAUCCAGCUCGUCAGUUUGUGCUUGGGCGUAGUCAGGAUUUGAAUAAAACAUCCUCCUCUUCCAUAGUUGCUUCUACUAAGGAUGAAAUGGAGACAGAUUCAUCCAGAAAGGGAGUGGACAACCCAUUGAAGCAGCCAUUAUUAGAUCAGUCUAGUAAUGCUUGCCCUCGUGAUGAUGACUCAAUGGAGGUAGAGGAAAUUGGCUCACCAUUAACAGUUGUAGAGCCACGCGUAGAAGAGCGCCCGUUGCUGCGUCAGGCUCGAAAUGUGCGUAACUCUUAUGGAAACACACCUGUAGUGGGAACCUUGAUCAGUGAGAAUAAUUUCACUCUGACAAAUGGAGCAAAGAACAUUACUUCUAGUGCAGCAAAUGCUUUGUCUACAGACCAACCUUAUACAAUAGGUGACAGGAAAGUUUUUGGUCAUGCACAGGUUGUUGCAAUGACCCAGUCUCGAGAAAAAACAGUUAUUGAUCCUAACAAGUCUGUUGCAUCCGUUGCUGAGGAUUGUAAAUCGCAGCAAAAUACUCCCUCUGUAGUGGAACCUUUACCACUGUCAUCCCAUGAGGCCUCCAACACUUUCACCUCGCCAUCAGCUGCAAACAGCGAAUUAGCAAAUGAAGCUGUUGACAAGCGUAUUAAGAAGCCGCCACCAUAUCACAUAGCUGCUGUCAUGUCGAGGCAUGCUGCAAAUUUCAAUGAAUCUAGUGUGGAGCCUUCCUUGAUACCUAGUGGAGCUCUUGGCAGUAAUGGACAUGCUGUUAUGGAAAGCAAUGGAUUACAGCAGAGUUCAGCUGCAUCUCCUGCCACUUCAGCAGCAGCAGCUGCAGCAGAAGAUGAAAACAAUGACACCAGCAGCUCCAGUGACAGUGGCUAUGGUAAUGGGAAAGCAUCCAGUCAACAGAUUACUGAUGAGCAGCACUGUAGUGAUGGCAGCGGUAUCAAUACUCCAUCUUCUCCACAAAACCUCACAGACUCCGGCUUCUCUAUGCCUUCUUCAUUAUCGUCGCCUCAAGGCAGUGCAGAUGUAACUUCUUUGUAUUCUGUGAAAUCAUUCACUGUGCCAAUAUCUGCAACAACUCCCCAAACUUCCUCCAUAUCAGCACCUGCAGUCCCUGCUAAUGUACCAAUAUCAACAAACAGUUAUUCACGGGCUACCUCUCAGAAUGUACCUUCGACCAUAUCACCAUCGUCGUCUGUGUCUCGUCCUUCUUACGACUCCCUGCAAAAGUCGCUCUCAAGAACUGGUGAUGUUCAUAACCUGCCUUACAAUGUUGCCACAUCCAGUGCCAGACCAGCUUCUAUUGCCACUGGGACACAGUUGGAAAACUGCAACACUCGAGUGGUACAUCGGCCUGGAUCCCUUGCAUUGGGAACCCUCGCAGACUCUGCUCUACUGAACAGAUUGCCUCGUGACCAUCGGCCAGGAUCCUUGGCUGCGCCUAUCAACACUUUGGGUAUCCCACCAGCUCCUGCCAGAGCUGCGUCCCACAUGGGGCUAAACGUAAUGGCUCCAAGUAGAUCAAAUGACUUCCAAAUGUUCAAGAGUCAAGACUUGACUCGUACAAGACAGGGAUGGACACCAGACCAUCAGAGUUCAAGUGGUGCUCCUAACCACCGGCAAGAGAGUAAUGGUCUCGUCUCCAUUAUUGAUCAGGUGACAAGCAGCUUGUUAGAGCAUGGUGAUAGUCCACCACCCAAGAUGCCUGCUUGUGAAGUGCCUCAGUCAUUUGACUCGACCUCAAUGACAACAGUUCCUUCUACUGGAUAUUCUCAGACUGCAACACAAUCUGGUACAUCAGAUGCCUCUAUCAAAGCUGCAAUUACAUCUGUUGAGUCAGGUUUAUGUUCAGGAAUAGAUACAAGUGGUUCUCAUGAGUACCAGGAUAAUAGUUCCUCAGGUGGCAGAGUCUCUUCUGAUGGGCCUGCAAAUUUUACACAGGAUCAGCCACGUGGAGAGGUGCUGCACCCAACUCCCCAUUGGCCCAAUCUCUCUUCAGCUUCAAGACAUACCCAUGAUUCCUUGCAAGAUUCUGUAUCAUCUGCCCAGAAUCCUCUCUGUGAUUCUCAGGAAACCGACAGUGGCGCAUCAGAAUCUGAAACAAAUCAGUCCAGUGAUACAGAAAGUAGUGUGGGACAUUCUGAAGGUACUCUGUCUCCUCUUAAGGUUACAUCAAAACCUCAAUCAAGAAUUCCUGCUCUAAUCACAGAAGUGCCUUUUCCUGAAAUUAAAACAAUUAAUAAAGAUCCUCACAGUUCUAGUCACACUUCUCAUUCGCUUCAUGAAUCCCGGAUUCCCACUUUCAGUUGUAUGGGACGUAAUUCCAGUUCAUUAACCAAUGAUGCCCACUCGUCAGUGGAAUCAAGAAUACCAACUCUUGUUAGCAUUAGCAAAAGUUCAAGCAGUUUAGCUCAAGAAAGAAGAAACUUUGCAGAGUCACAGAUUCCUACACUUAGUUCUAAAGGAGCAAAUGUUAAUAAUUCGAUGUAUGAUAAGCAAGCACAAUGCGACACUCGUUUGCCUGUAUUAGGCAAUGUGGGACAUAACUCUCAUAAUGCAGUGUUUGAUGCCCAGUCUUUAUCAGAAUCUCUGAAAUCUCUGGGUUACAACUCCAACGCUGAAUCCCAAAUUACAAGUGAGUCUCGGAUCCCAGUGAUGGGACUGAUGGGCAGGACGUCAAGUAACUUGACCCGUGAGGCACUUGGCAUAAACACUGGAAAACUUCCAAGCCCAGAUGUAACUAUAGGGAACAAAAAUUUCCCCCUCAACAAACCACUGGUGACAGGGAGUAAUGGAUCCAGUAUUCCGUUGAUGUCCUUGCAGAGUAGAUGCAACAGUAAUCAAGGUUCCAGUUUGCCUAGCCUUGGAAACAUUUCAACUACCAUGCCUGGUGACUCCAACAGACACCUUGUUUCUUAUGGACACGUUUCCAGUCCCCAGAAUUAUCAAGAUGCGGGACACGUAUAUAUAUCCACACGACUUCCAUCUCCAGGAUAUUCAUCAGGAAUUCGACCACCCACAGUUCAUUCACCUAGUCAGCAGCAGCAGCAGCCUGCUAUUCAGUCCCACUUGAGAGGAUAUCCCAGUGGUAUACGUCCACCCAUGGUAAAUACUGCCAUCAACACACCAGGUAUCCCAUUACCAUCUCCCAUCUCACCAAGCAACCACUUAACAAACCCUGGGUCCCGAGGCUCCAUCACCUCCACUGGCUCAGCUUCUCGCAUACCAAUGGCUUCAGGAGGGACUCCAUCUAGACUGCCUGCUCCAGGCUGCAACAAACACCGGAUUUCACCAGCUGUAACACCAUCCCCGGAUAGCAAUAAAGCCAGCCAAUCAGCAUGGAUGUUCGGCCAACAUAAAAAUGCCCGAGUGGUAUGUCAGAAUGCCAGGAAAUUUCGAGUUCCUGAACGAAGAGUGUCCAAGUUUCACAUCAAAUGUUCCCGGUAGUGAUUGAGAAGAAUCCAGACCUAGGCUUUACCAUUGGGCAGUCCCAUACAGACCCAGAGGAUAAGAGUAUUUAUGUGACAAGUGUAGCAGGUGGAGGAGCAGCUUCUUCGGCACUUAAAGUUG